CGUUCUUUACCUGACAGUGUGUGGAAAUCUGUGUCCGUACGCUACACAUGUCCUACAAAAGCUCCGUUCCACGUGUGUGAAGCGUGUUCACUACAGCUGGCAACGUUAGAGCGCUCACACUUCCACCCUGGGAAACGUGGCCGGCCGUGCAAACGCAGUGUGACGGGAGCUGGGUCGCAUUUCCGUUUCCGGCGCCCCUUGCCGGCAUCGGAGCCCCUCCAGAGGAGACGGCUGACCUCCUCUGCGAGUGAGCGUCCCCUGCACCCCUUCAGUGCAAGCCCUGGGAAGGUUGCACAGAAGUGGAGCCGUGAGCUGAGAAUACAUUGUUGCCUUGGAAGCUGCCAGGAGAAGAGCAGAAGACAGAACCCACCCUGCCAGCCCUUUACAGUAGCAUCGAUCUAUGCAGGAGGUGGAGUGCGCGUGAUUCGAACACCUCCCCAAGGCCCCACCUCUCAGUGCUGCUGUUUGGGAUUAAGUUUCCAACAUAGGAGAUGGCGGUGAGGGGCACAGUCAAAAUAGCCAGGAGGCUAUGAGUGACUGUCCAAGGGCACAUCUGCAUUACCGUUCCUUAUCCCUUACCCAUCCUAUAUUGGUUUUCCAGAG